ACCAUCAAAAAUAAAUAAGACAC
rnacentral:piRNA from 1 species